UUUUUUUUUUUUUUUGUUUUUUUUUCAGCAUUACAAUCUCUGGCUAAAGAUAAAAAAUUUUUUUAUUUAUCGUUCAGAUGUAGUUUCAUUGCUUUCAUAAGUUUUACUUAAGCCAGUCAUUGUACAUAAUAUUUCAUCUUUCCACACAUGCCCUUUUAUAUAGUUUUUUGUUACAGAUAAUUUUUAUUUACAAGUUUUUCGAAGAUGAAUAAAUUAUUAGAUGAAGUUCAAUAGAAAUAUUAUCAACAACAUAAAUAUUCUUUUAUCAUUGGCCAUAAACAACAGUGUGAACAAUAAUACAAUAGUACAAGGUUUGUAAUAUUGGUAUAAAUGAUAUGUUAUUACAAAAAAAAAAAAAAAAGAAUUAUAGUUGUAUUGUAAAAGUGAUGUAUUUUAUGUUUCAGGUGUUCCAAUUAUCAACAUAAUGCGGAUUAAAAUACUUGGAAUAUUUUAUGGAUAUACGAAUGGAUGGAUUUUUUUUUCCAAUUACUAAGUCUAUUUUCUUAUUUAUCAAUUUAAUAUAUUGAAUUAUAUUUUAAUCUAAUCAAAGUUGUGAUUUUUGUUUCAGGAAUUAUCAUCAGUAUUGUUCAGCUUCGAUUCUUAUUUAAUACUUUUUAUGUUCACAGGUUUACUUUUGAUUCAAUCUACAAAAAUUGCAAAUUAAUUUUAUUGUAUGUUAUAUCAUAUUUUAAUGUGAUUGUUUAUAUAUUAAUGUUUAUAUAUUAAUGUUUAUAUACUUUAUUGAGAUACAUGUUAAAUAUUUUUUUUUGGUUUCAGAAAAUUGUUUCUUAUGCUUACAGAUCGGCUGUUGGUUCACCAGAAAAAUUUAUAAAUUAAUUUUAUUGUAUAUCGCAUUAUACUUUAAAUUUAUUAAUUAUGUAUUAAUCUUGAUAUGUUUUUUUAAGACAUGUUUUAUAUCUAUUUUCAGGAAAUUAUUUCUUAUGUUCACAGAUUGGCUAUUGGUUCCACAUCAAAACUUACAGAACAAUUUCAUUGUAUAUCGCAUUAUACUUUAAUGUAUUAUUAUUUUUGUAUAUUAAUUUUAUAUUAAUCUUGAUAUUGAAACACAUGUUUUGUAUAUAUUUUCAGGAAAUUAUUUCUUAUGUUCACAGGUUGACUGUCGGAGUUCCUAGAUUAUAUUUUCUGUGAAUAUGUUUAAUAAAUUAUGCCUUUAUUUUAAUCAAUAAAUAAAAGUAUAAUUUAUAUAAAUUUUUAUCUUUGCGAGUGGAUGAAAUAUUUGCUUCUUUAAAUUAUUAUAUAAAAUAUUAUCUUUAAUGAUAUUAUUAAUAUAAUCCGUUUUUUGUUUUUUAUUGAUAACAUAGUAUUUUUCGCGUUAACCUUGGAAUAGAGUAACCAAAUCUUAUUAAGAUUAAAGGUACCUCUUCCUUAAUCGGGUAGGUAGGUCGUUCAAACGAAUUCAUGACUUUUCAUCCAAUUUAAAGCAAUUGGAAAAAAAUUUGUGAUUCGUUUCGCGAUUGUUUGCUUGCUUGUUUGCUUGUUUGCUUGUUUACUUUUUUCACUUUAAUAAGUAGAGUGUAGAGUCUUAGCUCGUGGGUCUCCGCAAGCAGCAACCUCCAAGUGGUGAGACCCGGGCAAUCGAUAUUACUUGGGAUGUUCUUUAUUUAUUUAUUUAUUUAUUUAUUUAUUUAUUUAUUUAUUUAUUAACAACGCAAGUACUGUCGAGCUGAUGGCUGCAUUUAAAUUCAGUCAAAAUUUAAAUGUUUUAUCAUAGAAUUUCUAUCUUUCGGAUUGUUUUUUAAUUAAAUAUAUAAUAUAUUGAUGAUCAAUAGAUAAAUCCUAAUAUAAUAAAAAUAAUUAAUAUAUUUAUAAAGGAUGUAUUAAUAUAAAAAAAAAAAGGAAGAAAAAGAACAUUUUAGAUAUAUAAGGAUUUUGAAGAAACUUGUGAAGAAGAUAGAAGAGGACGAAAGAGGACAUCCUGUUUUCAAAAGAAAGGAUAAAAAAACGUUUAAGGAGUUUCAAGCGAGGAACGACACGAGCUUUAGACAAUUAGUCCAUAAUUAACUCGGAGACAGACAGUUGGGGCUUCGCUUGGAGCAUAAAACGCUAUCAACCCUUCGGGUACAACAACCAAGGUUUAUGGAAGUAUGCAUAGAAGCAAAAAUAACCAGACACCAGAUCACCCUUUUUACAAAUGCAGACGCACGUUCUAUUCGAAUCUUUCUCUCUAUUUACUGAAAUGAAUUAUUUUAAUCGUCUUUUUAUUAUCAUUCACAUCAUUGGAUAACUUAGAAACAUUAAUGCUUGUAAAUUCAUUCGUCGUAUUUUUAUCUUUCUCUCGUUCGAUGUUGUUAACAGAUAGAAAGGACAUUUUCAAUCUCAGAGAGACACAUGUUUCAGCACGAGUUUACGAUCAAAACGAUUUAUUAGCUCGUCUAAUAGCUUGGUAAAUCUUGUAUAUGUACGUGUCUAAGUAUCAAUCUUCGAUCUUUUAUUUCAAGUUUAAAUCAAAUUAUUGUAUCUCGUUGAGACGAUGUUCGCAUUAUUUAACAUAUAUUUAUAUAUAUAUAAAUAUAUAUAUAUAUAUAUAUAUAUAUAUAUAUAUAUAUAUGUAUAUAUGUAUGUAUGUAUGUAUGUAUUACCAUUUAUCAGAUUUUUGUCGUUUUUAUUAAAGCAAUCUGAAUAAGUGUAAACACGUUUCAAGAUAGUAGUCUCAAUAUUGAAAUAUUUUUAAUCAGGUACGACAUGAGUCAGCUGUUAAAUUCAAAUUGAUUGUAAAAUUAUGAACGCGUGUCGUGUUUAGGACGAUGAAUUUCGAAAGUGAGUAUGAAAUUAUUUGCCGUCGUAGCAAUUGAAUUUGGAGUAUCGAACGAAGAAUUUAUUUCUUUUCUUUUCUUUUUUACAUUUUUUUUUUCUCCCUAACAACAGUCUCGUAGCAAUUAAUAAUGAAUAUAAAUUUUUAAGGAAAUUUAUCUCACUUAUUUUUUCCUCUUAGAGGAUCACGUUGAUUCUUAGAAGAAAGAAGUGUAUCCAAGAUUCUGAUUCAUCGUAGAAAUACCAAGAAGCUUACACACACGAUUGUCUGCUUACUAUGUCUCCUCAGGUGCGUUCGAACUUGUUCGAACAUUUAUUUUCUUUUAUUUUUCUCUUUUUUCUUUUUUUUCUUUUUUUUCUUUUUUUUCUUUUUUUUUUCUCUUAAAGAAUCGAAAGAACAAAGAUCAGAACGUAUGAUACUUUUGUCUCGUGCGCGGCUAAUGAAAGGGAAAAAAUUCAUGUGACUGAUGAUGAAGAAAGCACAAGAAGAGUCCGUCUGUCAAAACGAAGUCUGUGCCUUGUCAAGGGACGUCUUUAAGGUAAUCGUCAUCAUUAGAAAUGUCCGUAGAAAUUAUAACAAUUUUUUGAUUACCAUAUAAUUACGAACUGGAAAUUUAUCGUGAAUGAUGACUGAAUCACCAGGUCCAUUCAUACGUAAACUCGUUUGGUAAGUCAUUACAUUAAAUCCGCGCCGUUAUAUUAACAUUCCCUUGACGCAACUUUUACAGACUUUAUAAGCAAAUUCUUCUCGUAUAGACGUAAUAUUUAUUAUUGCAUCCGUGGAAUUAAUCGAAUUAAAUAUUCGAUUCAAGGGACAUACAAGAAUAUUUUGUACCUUUUUAUCAUAUUUUUAUUGUGUUAUAUUAUUGUAGAGUAGAUAUAUUUUAUCUCAGAAUUCAUAUAUUAUACACGGUAAUGGAAGAGAGAGAGAGGGGGGGGGGAAGAACUGUUAGAACACACGUCAGUGUCAUAGAAACGAUCUUUCUUCGUUCACUUUUAAUAGGCGAGAGGGAGACGAGGUAUUACGGAAAAGAAUUCGAAGAAGAUUCCUUUCGUGUUCUUCUAGUGAUCUGGUAUAUCGAGCGUAAAAUAUAAAAAAGAGAGAGAGAGAGGGAGAGAGAAAAAGAGUCGAAAAGUGAAAGAAGAUGAGAUGUAAUGGGAAACCAAGACAACACCAUAUGUCGUUCGAAGGCACACUUUCAAGGGAAUCCAUAAAACCUAGCGGAGCUAGACGAACGUAUUUUCAAACGUUUUAAGGCUUUAUUCUUAUGUUCAUUGGCCUGUUAAUAAUCGAAAAAUAUUUUUUUCUUUUCUUUUUUUUUUCUAUUAUAUAUACAUAUACGUCAUGACAAAAAUGAACAUUUUGAAAUCUCGUGGCAUCGAGUUUUGUUUAGACGAACCUGUCAUUCUACUAAAAAUAGUCUCGCUAUCGGGCUCCGACCUUAUCGUUAUCACUUCUGCCACGUUUGUAAGCUUCUUUAAAAUGUCACCGGGUAUGUAUAUAUAUAUAUAUAUAUAUACAUAUAUAUGUGUGUGUGUGUGUGUGACUAUGAGUCUGUGUGUACGGGUUCCUGUCAAAGCAAGGUAAACGACACCUUUCAACGGAAAUCAUUAUGGUUGGCCUUGUUACUGUUAAUUAAAUGAUUAGCAAUCGCCUACAUUUACGUCUAUGAAUUUACUUAGAAAUUCUCUUUUUUUUUCUUCUUUUUUUUUUUCCUUUCUUUCUUUUUAUUCUUCUCAUUCUUCUCCUAUGUCAGUUUAAAAAAAUAAUUUUAUUACCUAUAGUUUAGUCGUAUUUCAUUUAAUCGAGUCACUUGAUUCAAAUUUCCAUGCGAAUUCAAUUCCGAACUUUGCGAAAUUAAAAACCUGGUGUCAUUCGAAUCAUCUUGUCGUAAAGAUAAACGAGUAAGCAUUUUAUAUUAUUAUUAUUAUUAUUAGUAUUAUUAUUAUUAUUAUUAUUUUUCUUUUUUUCUUUUUGAUCUUUUCGUUUGACUAUGGUUAGACUUGUUUCUAUCUAUGUUGUUUCGAGUUCAUUGAAAAAAGUUGGAGAAAUAGUCUCUUAGAAUCCGGAAAUGUCAUGGGAUUAUAGAAACCAUGGAUGUCGUUUUAUAAUUAGAGCGGAUGAAAAAGAAAAAUCAGUGAGACUUAGUUUAACUCUUCUAAUGUUUCCUCUCUCUCUCUCUCUCUCUCUCUCAUGUUUAUUUUUUUCUUCUAUUUCUUCUUUCUUUCUUCCUAUUUUUUUUUUUUAAUUUCUUUCAUAGUUAUGCAACCGCAGUUUUCUACUUUUUUCUUUUCUUUCUUCCAUUCUUUUUAAUUAUUUUUCUUUUCACUACUUUAAUCGAGAAUAAUUAUAAAUGACGGCCUUGUAUCAUAUAUCGAGAUUGUUUUGCAAUACGCCACGAUCUAUGUCAUUUCCGUGCAUUCUAUUCCUCGAUGAAGGAAUAUUUACGAUACGAGAUAUGGCGUUCACGUUAUCAUUUAAUAUUAUAAUUUAAUUUAUGAUAGAUUAUUUUUAUUAUCGGAGAUAGUAUCGCGAUAUCAUGUACCAAUAUAUGAGGGGAAAAAUAAUAUAUAUACAUAUGUAGAUUUUUUUUUUUUUUUUUUUUGCAAAAUCUUUUUAUACUUGUUGUCUUUUUUCGUUUGUUUAAAAUAUUGACUCGUUGAUUUCUAAAUGAAUAAUUAUUUUAUCGUAAUCAAAUCAAUAUAUAUACAUAUACACAUAUAUAUCUUCGUUUGUAUUUCGAAAUUUGGAUUGAUUCAAGACAGAAAGAUAGAAAGGGAGAAAGAGACUUUAAGAUUAUUUCUCUUCGAGAUCACCAUCAGUUGGGUAAGCGAUAAAUCAAACGAUAAAUCUUCGCACCCCUUUUAAACGUUGUCUUUCUAUCUCACGUAUGGCUUCCGAGCGAACGUAAAUCAAAGACACUUGUCAAGACGAUUUCCGUCUUUUCCAUUUUAUUCGAUGGCUUUAUAAAAUGUCAAAAAGAACGAACGUUUAUCGUAAAGACACGUUUGUCGCCUACGAAAAUAUAUUUUCAUUCGGUACGUGUGUGUUUCGAUGAUGGGAAUCGAUCGUUCACGUACGAACAACGAACACGAAUAACGAUUGUAACGAGGAGGAAAGAAAGACGUGGAUCAAAUAACGAAGACGAUCGUCAGGAUCUUAUGGUGUUCUUACAAUAUUUCUCUCUCUCUCUCUCUCUCUCUCUUUUCAGGAUAAUAUAUGUGUGUGUGUAUAUGUAGGUAUGGGUAUGGUGAUCGAAGUGUAUUCAUCUUUAUGCACGUCGAAUGGCGCCAUCAAGUAUAUAUAUAUUGUUGCAUUUCAACCCCUUAGUUUCCUUUUAGCAUAAUAAAUUUCUUUAGUUCUUUUCUUUUUCUCUCUCUCUCUCUCUCUCUCUCUCUCUCUCUCUCUUUCUCUUUUAUAAUCUAAGUACACUUUCUUCGUAUCUACUCGUUAUUCUUAGACGUUAGAUUUGCGUGUUACAUGAUUAUUUUACAUAUUCCUUUUAAUUGUUGCAAAAGACGUGUAUUGUUGAUUAAUUAAGGAGAAGAAAGAUAGGAUAUCUCGUAAAAGAGAUUAAUGAGUAUUUUGUCUAAUAUAUUUGAAAAGACGAAUAUAUUGUCUCCUCGUUAGCUGGCACGGUUCGUCUUAAUUAUUUCUUUUUUUUUUUUUCUUUUCUUUUUUGUCAUCGUCCACUCUUUGCACUCAAGCACGCGUACGUUUCUUCUCGUUUCUCUCUCUCUCUCUUUUUUUUUUUUUUUAUUUUUCUUCUUCAUCUUUUCGUUCAGCUUCCGGUUAAGAAAAAGCUAAAAGAAAGAGAGAGAGAGAGAGAGUCUACAUACAAAAAGUUUCUCUUCUGGCAUGGUUCAGACCCUAUACCUCGUCUUGAGCAACCCGUCUCCUCCGCCCUCUUCAUUCUCGUUCUGAACGAAGCCUCUGGAAUAAUCGCUCGACACGGCGUUGCUAAUAUAAGACGAAGAAUACGAUCCUGAAGUCUUGAUAGCGCCAGCGGUUCCUUGCAUUCCAACGUUUAUUUUCCAAGAAGCAAAUUGGAUUUAUGUUAUCUGUGCUCAUAUUAAGCAUCUGAGAUUUAACACUAACAUUCGGAUCUACCUGAAUCGUUUUGAUUUUCUUUUUUGUUUUAUCUUCUUAUUUUCUUUCAUUUUUUUUUUUUUUUACAUUUAAAUUUAAAAUUAAUUUUUCCAAUCAAAUUCGAUCAAUUUCAAAUAUGCAGAGUUAAUUGGAGUCUAGUGUAUUAAUUUUGAGUAUUAUUUUUAUUGACAUAGUCAAGUAUUAUUUUUAUGCGUAUUAUUGCAUAGGUCCUAGUAGUCCUCAUUUUCUUAAAAAGAAAAGGGGAAAAAAAAAAUAGAAGAAAAAAGUUUUCAUAUUCUUUGUUCAGCCGUGCAUUAGGUUCUCAACACUCAGUAAUGGAAAGAUAGGAUUACUAUGCGUAACAAACGCUCUUUUUCGUGCGUUAACGACGUUCGUUCGCGGUUUCAAAUGUCUUUUAAAAUGACGUAGGAAGAUAAACGGGUUACCGCUGAGAAGGUACAAACUCGAGUUUCUCUCUCUCUUUCUGUCUCGUUAUAUACAUAGUGGAUCGUUUCAAAGGGUUGCUGCCAUCGUUAUCUCUCUUGCAGCUACUUCUAUCUUUGACGACUGUCAUCGGUAUUCUGCUUCGUCGGCAACGAAACGAAGUAUCAUAUAACAUUUGUCUUUAUUUAGUUCAAGUAUCGUAUCUAACACUUGAAUCUCCUUUAGUAGAUAAUAUUAAUGAUAAUAAUGAUAAUACGUGAUAUCGUCAUUCUUUUAUUAUGUUAUAAAAGUUCUAAGAAAUGUUCGUAAGACGAGAUCGAUAAUGUUUUCUUUAUUCUCUCUCUUUCAUGAGAGAGAGAAAGAGAGAAAAUAUAACUGACAGAGAGUGAAUUUUUUCGUUUUUAUCCUUGAAAAGUUAAUAAAUUUUAUAUAUAUAUAUAUACCAUCGACAAUUUUAUAUUUUCCUAUUGGAAUUUUUCUAUGAUAUAGUAUCUAGCUGAGAGUUUAUUGCGAAAUUAGAUAAUAAGAGGAUAUGAAGUAAACGAAGCCGAUGAAAAGAGAAUGGGGGGAAAAAAAUCAUAGAAAGUGAAAAUGAAAAUGGAAAAAAAAAAACAAGGAUUUUCUGACAUUCCGAAUAGUCCACUCUUCUUUUUAUUAUUGAUAAUAGCUAUCUUCUUGUCUCGAGAUUCAGAAAGUAAUCUUUCAUCGCCACCAUCUAUAUAUAUCAUCAUCAUCGUCGUCGUCAUCGUCGUCGUCGUCGUCGAUGAGAACCGAAACACAUUCGAAAUGGAUUUCUGCUUCUUCUUCCGUUCUUACUUUCUCGACACUUUCCCGAACACUUGGAACAAUGGAGCCACGAAAGCCUGGGAAGUCUAAUUGUUGCUGAACGAAACGAACGAAGACACAAUUCGCACGCUCCCUUGGAAAUUUUCUGCGACUGGUCGAAACGGUGAAAAAUAAAAUGGACGUCAUCUUGGUUCGCCGCUGUUAUGUCUCAUUUAACCCGUCCUCUUAACUUCACUUGACCAAGUGUCAAUAAGUCGCGAGGCUACAACGAGACCAAAAAAUUCAUCCUCCACGGAGAGAAAAGCUCGACCGAGUUUCUUCUUCGUCAUCUUAUUCGGUGAUCGAGGUUUCCGUAUCGUCGUCAUACUUUAACGUGAUGAUUCAUGGUUGAAAGAGUACCACCAUUGUGUAUUGUUAAAGUUAAAUUCUGAUCGAGAUGAUCGAAGGAGGAGAACUACUACUGACUCGAUCGUGAAUGAAGGGAUUGCUUUGAUCAAUUCCUUGACAAUUAUUUGAUUCCAUCGAACUCGUAGACCGGAUCGCUCGAGAAUCGAUGUCUUUGUACUCUCUUCUGGGAUCGGAAGUGGCAUCACCAAGGAAACGUGGCGUCUAACUUUAUUCUCUUUUUUUCUUCUCGUAUUUGACCGCACGAGAGGGAGUCGGGAGGGAUGGGAGGAACGGACAAGGAGGGACAGGGAGGGCUAGGGAGGUUUGGCCCUCGAGCAUUGUACAGUCAGGAUCUCUCAAGGUAUCAUUAUUCGAACCCCAUCCAACAAACGGAGAGAGAGAGAGAGAGAGAAAGAGCGAGAGAGCGAGAGAGAGAGAGAGAGCCUCGAGCUCCGUAAAGCCAUACGCCAAGAAUGUUAAGUGUCGCAAUCGUUCAUUGUUCGGCGUUGCACGAAGGAGAAGCUCGACCAUCUGCAGAGAACCGGGAACUCGCCGCAAUUCUUCUCUCCCUAACCCUUUUUUUUUUAUAUUUUUGUUUUGUUUUGUUUUGUUGUACUUUUUCUCUUUGUUUUUUUUUUCUUUCUUUUUUUUUUCUUUUUUUUUUUCCUUUUUUUUUCCCUUUGGUCUUGCGCCAGAUGUUCGAUUCAAUAUGGAACAGAAGCUUCGAUAGGAAGAAGAAGAAGAAUAGGUCAUUUGUAAAUUUAGUACAAAAGGGAAAAUAAUGAAUUUUAGAUAUUAAUUUCUAAAGUCCGUUCGAUAUUUCACUUUUGACUUUUGUUGGAAAGAUGAGGGUCCGUUAUUGUUUGAUUUAAUCGAUUGAUUCGUUUCUUAUUUUAUUUAUUUAUUUAUUUUUCUUUUUUCUUUUCCUACAAAUUUGUUCGAGGAUACUUGCAGAAUGUUUACGAGCAUUUUAAUAUUCGUGCUGUAGGAUGUUCAAAGGAAAAGAUUCUUAGAAUGCAAUUUCUUAUUGAUUUUUAAUAUCGAUUGGAUUUCUUGGUUUACUUGGUCUUUGUUAGUAUAAAAAACAAAAGAAAAAAGAGAAGAAAAAUUCAAUUGUUUGCUUGUUUGUUUGUUUGUUUUUUUUUAAGGGUACUUGCACGAAACGUUUCCAGCUUCUGGGUAUGUUUAUUCUCAAGGACAUUAAAUGUGCGAGAUUCUUAGAAUGUAAUUUGUCGUCUUACUCAGUGACACCAUUGCCAUCUCUACCGCGAACUUUCGCGGUGACAUAAGCUGAUUUGGCGCCUGACUAUUAAACGUCACGAUGUGUCCUACGUACUUAUGUACGUGUAUAUAUAUACACACAUUGCGAAUGCAUUAGCACGUGCUCGCAAUGUGAACAUCGUAAUCUCAUACAGAGAGCCGAUGGAUCGAGGAAAGCAUCAUCUAAAUAUAAUCAUUACUUCUAAGAAUCUCUCGUACUUAUCUUGAAUGAGAAUUCAUAAAUUCCAAUGAUAAAAACGAGAAGGAACGGACGUAUAUGGAUUUUUUUCAAGUAAAAGGAAAAAGAAAGAAUAGAAAAGAAAAGAAAAGAAAUGAAUAAGAAAACAGAAAAGAAAUAAAGCGACAAGGAUUUGAAUUUGGUUCAUUCGAGAUAGAUCAAGGAUAAAUGGAGAUAAAGAAAGAAAAUUUAUUGAUUCAUCCGGGAUCAACCGGUUAGUGUGAAUUCCCCGUACCAAUACUCUUUCAACAACACUUUCCCGUAUUGCAACGGACGGGGACCACGUGCUGGUCUUAUGCUUUCACCUCGUGCUACACACGACCAAUCCCCCAACGACAUUCAUGCUUGAGGAAUUCAAGUAAUCUCUACGAAUCGACCUGAAGUUUGAUCAAUCGGUCGAACUUCCGAUUCAUUUUUAAUUGAUUCACUAUUAAAAGUAUCUACAUGAUUAUUACGAAACUUGUUGUUGUACGCGAUUAGAAAUCGACGAUUAUAUGGCAUUAUACAUAGAUGGCAUUUGAAUCUAUUCAACGCGUUUAAACUGAUGGAUUUAAAUUCCUCCUAAAUUAAAAUCCAAGAUGCAUUCAAGAGCCAAUCAUUCGACUUAGCCUCGAGCACAAUUUUAAGCUCGAUGAUGAAUUAAACGCACGUCAUUAAACCCGAUCUCUCGCGAAGUUCAUCCGAGCAAAACCUCCGACUAUUAUAUCUCUUUGAACGUACUUGGAAGGUAAACGAGAGGAAUCAUCGGGCGUUACGUAAUGAACGAUUACGCCGUUAGUUAAGCAACGAAUUCCGGUUUGCAGUUACUUCUCAAAUCAAGGAUGUAACAUCGUUUUAUUCUUCUUGCUGGCCUGCCUGUCUCUGUACAUGUGUGUGUGUGUGUGUGUGUGUAAGUGAGUGUAUGGUAUCGACCAUUUCAAUCGGUUGGAAUUAUCACCAACUGACCUUGGCCAAGAAACGUUCCUCGUGGCAGAAUGUUACGAGGCAAGGUUGAAGUUGCAAUCUUUCGAUCUAUCGAUCAAACGAAAUUUUCAAUGGAAAUUAUCUGAACGUUAUUUAGACGUCCAUUGGAGUUUAAGAAGUUGAUUGAAUUUCUUUUUCUUUUUUCUUCUUUUCUUUUUUUUUACUCUCUUAUUUUUUUUUUUUCUUUUAUUAAUACCUUCGAAUAAAUUGCGAAAGAUUUUAGAUUGAAAAUAAGAGAAAUAGAGUGUUGGAAUUUCAAUCAAGUAUCCAUGAAUGGCGCAAAGAUCGAGAGAAGAGAAUAGAUAACAGAGAGAGAAAAAGGAGGAGAGACUUCUACUAUCGCCAUUAGUUUUCUUAUUUAUCGUAUCGACAAUAACGCGUACGUCGCGACGUACGUUAUUAUCGUCGCAAGCAAUAAACUCGUUAUUAUCAAUGUUUCAACUAUUCACAGGGGCUCUUGAAUUAAUGAAAGAUCGAACUUAAAGAAUCAAUUCUUUUUUUUUUUUUUUUCUUUUUUUUUUUCAUGUUACGUCACAUACAUCUCAUUGCGGAUCAUUCUUGUCAUGCCUGGAUACAGAUUUGUUUAUCAUCAACGUACGACUUUAGUUUGGGUGGAUAAAAUCUUUUUUUCUUUUUCUUCUUUCUCUUUCUUUUUUGUUGUUCUUUUUCUAUUCUCUUUCUUUUUUCUUUUUUUUCUUUUUUUUUUUUUUUUUUUUUCUUAAAUUGACUCGACGUCCGAACUCUUUUUUUUUUUUUUUUGUUUUUUUUUUAGUUCGAACGAGGGCUCUUCUCUCUAGGUUUCGUGGAAAAACGGGUAAACGGCAUAGAUAAGGGAGAACAGAGAUAACGGCGAGACAGUGAGGAUGCAGAUAAACCGGGAAGAAGACCACUUUACGAUUUUAUUUAUUUCAAAUGGCGUUGCGACCGAACGGGGUUCUUUAUCGCGACGGAAGCCAAAGCCCCAAGCUAAUUCUUAGUACUAAUUGGACGUAACGAGACGACAUCGUAGAAAGGUUCGUGACGAUUGAAUCGAAUCCAAUCGAAUCAAAUCAAAUCGAAUCGAAUCGAAUCGUAUCGGAUUGGAUCGAUCGAUCGAUCGAUCUCAUGAUUGAUCAGAUCGAUUUCUUUUCGAUCUUUCAAAAUCGAGAACGAUCUGGAUUAUUUCUUCUUUUUCUCUUGUUUUUUUUUCUUGUUUUUUUUUUUUUUUUCUUGUUCUUUUUUUCUCUUUUUCUCGAAUAUAUUUAUUCGAUGGAAAAAGAUCUCUUAAGAUGUUUUAGAUCUCUUUCUCGCUCUCUUUCUCUCUUCUUUUUGUAACGUGAAAAUGUGUUUACUUAAGCUCUUUCACUCUUUUAAGAAUCACAAGCUGAGAGUUCAUUUUUGUGAGAGAGAUCGAAUGAAAGAACGAAAGAAGGAGACUUGGAGUUUCGCUUCGGUCGACUUAUAAUAAACCUAUAAUUAUCCAUGAAAGAACGUUGUAAGAGUCGUUUAGUAUUCUUUAAAUAGAUUAUCAUAAGAUGCUUACAUAUCCAAUUCGCCGAUAGCGUUAUUAAUUUUUCAUUAAUUAAUAAUUAUAAUCGUAUAAUUGUUGUGUACCCUUAUAUAAGAUAUAUUUGUUCGGUUAUAAAUAUUUCAUUUGAAAUUCUUUUAAAAGAUUAAGUUAAUUGUCGUUAAUUAAUAUUAUCGUUAAUGAAUAUUAUUAAUCGAAUAUUAUCAAAUUUCAUAAUCGAUAUCGACUUAACAAAAGUGUUGCAAUUUAAUAUUCCACACGAUGAGGGAAGUAUCCUUGGUUCUGGGCAAGGACCUCCGGAUGAGUUGUAUCCUGAUUACGGGCCAUUGUGAUCCACGCUACAAGAACCUUUCAUGUUCGAAAAAAGAGAGAGAGAAAGCCUUGAUCGCUCGUAUAGUAGUAGCCAUGAUGCGGGCUAGAUAUCACAACACGUGAUAAUUAACACGGUCGACGAUUUAUCAUGUCCACCCUCUACUUUCGCUUCCUGGUGUAUGAAUGAAGAAAUAGAAAAAAAUAAAAGUAAAAAAAAAAAAGAAAAAACCGAAAGAAAAACCCGCCAAAAAUAUAUAGGAAGAGAGAGAUACCUAUGGUCAAACUCUUUAAAAGAAUUUCACUUGAUUAUAUUUCCGAGAUUAUAGCAGUACAAUUUUGUUUUUAAUUAUUUAUAGUUGUUUGUAAUCAUUCUCAUGAGGGAUUGCAUGAAAUAUGUAAUUAGGCAUUGUCUGUUUUAUUUUUAUUUCUUUUUGUUUUCUUUCCCUUUCACUUUUCUCUCUCUCUCUCUCUCUCUCUCUCUCUCUCUUUUCUUUUUCUUUUCUUUUUUCUUUUUCUUUUUUUUUUUUUUUUUCCUUUCAAGAUUCUUCGUGUCCUUGGGAAUCGACCUUCACACAGAGUCAUCGAUGUGAAGAUUUUUGUAAGAACGUUAUUUAUUAUUAGAUACGAUUUUGAAAUGGCGGGGGCGUGGGGUGGGAGGAGGGGGGAAGUGUUGAGUAUUUCAUGGAAACUUUGAAAAAUAGCCAAUUUCAAAUGGGAAACGGAGAGUGGAUUUGUGCAAUAGAGUCGCGAGUUAAAACUCGCAGUCGAAGAAAAGCGGAAACACGGGCUACCGCGCCGGAUGUCGUUGUGCGAGAGAGGGCGAGAGGGGAGCAGUGUGUGCUGUUGGGCUACCAACUCUGGGACUCAGGGAUCAACAGCGGAACGAAACUUGCCGCACGCUUUCGUACCUGUCCUGGAAUUAUUAGUAUGAGCAGACUUUUACAUGAGAUUGGAUUACCUACCUCGAGAUCUUGUGGUUUUUAUAGGUUUUUUUCUUUUCUUUUCUUUUUUUUUUUUCUUUUUUCUUGUUUUGUUUUGCUUAAGAUCGAAGGACAAAGGGCUAAGCGAAUAUCCCAAAGAAAUAUUUGUAUUAAUUGAUGCAUCAAUUAUUUUUAAUAUUUCUCUUUUAUUAUUAUUAUUAUUAUUAUUAUUAUUAUUAUUAUUAUUAUUAUUAUUAUUAUUAAUAUGAACCGUUUCACAGCUAUAACGGUUCAUUGUAAAGAAAGAGAAAAAGGUUACUGGACUACUUGCAUUUUGUAUGAUACGUCUCAGCAAUUAAUCUAAUCGUUGAAGAUCGAGAAGAAGAAAUAGAGGAUGGAGAUGAAAAUAAUAAAAAUGCGAGAAUGGACAAAACCAUUGGAUUAUAAGUUGGUUCGUCUUCUCUAUCUUCUUAUACUCCAUUCGUUCAAAGGCUGUAACUAAUCGAGAAAGAUCCUUCAUGAUCGCAGAUACCUCUCUUUCUCUUUCUCUCUCACUCUCUCGAUGCACAUGACGUUGCAUUUAUUGUCAGUGUUUAUGAUGGAACUUCGCGAUCGGCAUGACGAAACACUUUAUUUUCGAGAAGGAAAUUCGACAAAACAGGAACAGUUAGGUACGAUCGCCAUGACCCUAUAUAUAUCACGUAGAGUCGAUUUAUUAUAGGGUAUAGAGUGUAGUUUUGGAUUUAUUUCUUUUGGAAAAGAGGAAAAAGAAAUAAGAGGGAGAAAAGAAAAUGCGCAAGAAGGAAGAAGUAGAAGAAUAAAUAAAAAAAAAUGUCUGAACAGCUUUCUCCUUGCAUUUCCGGAUAAAAUCGUUGAUUUCUAUUUUGAAUUUUUCUUAGCGAAACGAGAUUCGAAAGGGACUCCUACGUCAAGUUUUACCACAGUAAUAGUGGCCCAAGAGAGAGAAAGAGAGAGAGAAAGAGAUAGAAUAAGAGCGAUUAAGUGGAUCCGCAAGGGUAAACGCAGCUCGUAUAGUUUUUCACUUCUCAUUGUGAGUUAGCCGCAAUGUGCGACGCUCGGUAUGCGGGGUUCUCACAGAGAAUUCUUCGUUCAAGAGAGAGAGAGAGAGAGAGAGAGACAAAAAAGAUGGAAGGUUUACUACGAGCUUGGGACGCUUGCUUUAAAACGAGGGAACUCGCUUUUAACACUUAUAUUCUCUUACCGACAGAAGGAUCUCUUUUUAUUUUUUUGUUUCUGUUUUUUAAUUUUUUUUGUCUUUUUCUCGUAUUUUUGUUGUUUUUCUUUUCAUACUUAGAGAUCUUUUUUCAAGUACCUCAUUCAGCUAACUUUACAAUGUGAGAUCUACUCAUAUAGAUAUUGACUUUGGAAAGUUUUGCGUGCCGUUCAUUUCACACGUUUAAUGACGAAUUAAAAUUUUUUGCACACGUUUCAUAGAUUGAAAAAACGUAAGCUUUUUAUUAUUAUUAUUAUUAUUAUUAUUAUUAUUAUCAUUACUAUUAUUAUUAUUAUUAUUAGCGAAUAUAUUUGAACCGUUUGAAUGAAACGUCAGAAGAAGAAGAAAAAGAAGAAGAAGAAGAAGAAGAAGAAGAAGAAAAAGCUUCGAAAGCGCAUGAAUUUUUUUUGCGAGAGAAUAAAAAAAAAGAGGCAAAAGAAAAAAGAGAAUUUAGAUAGUAAAGGUCAUCACAAACGAAGUUAAUAGCGAGUCUAUCUAACGGAAGAAACGGUGCGUUUGCUCCGACCUUUGCGCAGUCGCGUGUGAAACGGGUCAGAGUGUAGCUUGUCUGAACAGAGUAAAAAUUCUUUGUAUUUACGCGUGAUUAUUAAAAGAAAAGAGGAGAGAGAGAAAGAGAGAGAUGAUUGCACGCGUAGAGAAGAGCAACAGAAUAAUGACUGGAGGAGUAGAGUCAUAUAAUCCGACAAUUAUAAUGAUAAUUAUUAAGCCAAGAAUACAGUGUUGCUACAGUCGAGUGCUAAAAAUUACUCGGGACGGAUAUCCCUUAGAUUCUUAGAAAGUAUAUAUUUAAUUUAAUAUAAUAAAUCAUUGAAAUGAUGAUUUCUUGGUGGUCUAUUAGCUAAGCGACUGGAUGAAAAAUCUUAUUUCCGUAAGCGUUAGAAAGAGAGAGAAAGUAAUUCCAUGUGUGUGUCUCGACAAGCAGAUGUAAAAGAAAAAUAAGCAGCAGUGGGUCCUUCUUAAACAUCUUGCGUUAGGAUGAAGGCCCUCAAGAGACUCAUGUUUCUCUCUUCUCGCAAAAAGGGACGCGAAACCGCACGUCUUCUACUUGCAACGAAUGGAAGAGAGAGAGAGAAAGAAAGAAGGAGAUGAAGAAACAUUUCGAAGAUCGUCGUGAGAAGUUGUGGCUUUUCAUUUGGAAGAUUUCAGAGAUGCAUAAGUGUGUGUUUGUGUGUAUGUGCGCGUAUAAGUUGUUGUUGUUGUUGUUGUUAAUACUCUCUCUCUCUCUCUCUCUAUUAAACACGGUAAUGAUAAAGAGUUGAUAAACAAGUCGUUAUCUUAGUGUUGUCUUUCGCUGAAGCUAAAUUCAUUGCUACUGAAUUAUUAGUUAUAUAGACGAGAAUGAUGUGAAUUAAAAAGGCUAAUCUUCUCAGUACAUACAUACAUAUAAUAUCAUCAUUAUCAUCAUCAUUGUACAAGGACGCACGUGGUCGUCCACAGCUGUUAAUAAAAGUAUCAUGAAAAAUAUUAAAACGUUUUACUCACGUCACGCUUGAUAUUAUCAUUUCGUUCUCGUUGUUCGUUUAAUUAAGUCACUUUUUUUUUCUUUCUUUCUUUUUUCUGCGUUUUUACAGUGAGAAAUAGAGUAGCUUCCCACAGUUUUUUAAAUGUUACAAAAUUUUUAAAUUCAACGCAUAAUAUACUUUAAUUGUCAUAAGUUUAGAUCGUAAAUUCAUGAUAUUUGUUGGUGUAUUUCU